rnacentral:rRNA from 1 species
AUUGAACGCUGGCGGCAGGCCUAACACAUGCAAGUCGAACGAGUGGCGGACGGGUGAGUAAUGUCUGGGAAACUGCCCGAUGGAGGGGGAUAACUACUGGAAACGGUAGCUAAUACCGCAUACCAUCGGAUGUGCCCAGAUGGGAUUAGCUUGUAGGUGAGGUAACAGCCCACCUAGGCGACGAUCCCUAGCUGGUCUGAGAGGAUGACCAGCCUCACUGAAACUGAGACACGGUCCAGACUACUACGGGACGCAGCAGUGGGGAAUAUUGCACAAUGGGCGCAAGCCUGAUGCAGCCAUGCCGCGUGUAGGAAGAAGGCAUUCGGAUUGUAAAGUACUGUCAGCUGAGAGGGGUGACCCGCAGAAGAAGCAACAGCUAACUCCGUGCCAGCAGCCGCGGUAAUUC